AUUGUGAUUUCUUCAAUAAUAUGUUUUUAAUUUUUAGUUUCUAUUUUUUUUAAUGAAAUGAGAAUUGAAUUAUUUGUAGAAAAUAUUGACUUUCAUGCGUAUUAAUCAGUACAUGUUUUCAAUUGCAGACAUGUGUUCUUAUAGUCCGUAUACAUUGUGAAGGUUGUAAGGAUAGGUCAGGAAGAAGGUGCAGAAGGUUCAAGAAGGAAAAUGUUUGUCUGGCAAACUCUAUAUCUGAAAUGCAUAAAUUUGGAGCAAUCUAUAAUAUCAAAUGGUUCUCAUACUUUGGCACAUGAAUCCAAUGAUUUGGGUAAAAAAGAUAAAAAGAAGAAAGGA